GACCCACUAGCUCAAUUGGUAGAGCAACUGACUCUUAAUCAGUAGGUUCGGGGUUCGAUUCCCCGGUGAGUCACCA
rnacentral:tRNA from 1 species